GCCACUGUAGCUUAGUGGUAGUGCAACUGCACCACUCUAUAGCGACGCCUUGGUAAGGCGUAGGUCGAGGGUUCAAUUCCCUCCAGUGGCU
rnacentral:tRNA from 2 species